rnacentral:rRNA from 1 species
GACGAACGCUGGCGGCGUGCUUAACACAUGCAAGUCGAACGGAAAGGCUCCAGCUUGCUGGCGUACUCGAGUGGCGAACGGGUGAGUAACACGUGGGUAAUCCGCCCUGCACUCUGGGAUAAGCCUGGGAAACUGGGUCUAAUACUGGAUAUGACCUUUCUCCUUAUGGGGUUUGGUGGAAAGUUUUUCGGUGUAGGAUGAGCCCGCGGCCUAUCAGCUUGUUCGUGGGGUGAUGGCCUACCAAGGCGACGACGGGUAGCCGGCCUGAGAGGGUGAUCGGCCACAUUGGGACUGAGAUACGGCCCAGACUCCUACGGGAGGCAGCAGUGGGGAAUAUUGCACAAUGGGCGGAAGCCUGAUGCAGCGACGCCGCGUGAGGGAUGACGGCCUUCGGGUUGUAAACCUCUUUCAGCAGGGACGAAGCGUAAGUGACGGUACCUGCAGAAGAAGCACCGGCUAACUACGUG